rnacentral:rRNA from 1 species
UGGGGAAUAUUGGACAAUGGGCGCAAGCCUGAUCCAGCCAUGCCGCGUGAGUGAUGAAGGCCCUAGGGUUGUAAAGCUCUUUCACCGGUGAAGAUAAUGACGGUAACCGGAGAAGAAGCCCCGGCUAACUUCGUGCCAGCAGCCGCGGUAAUACGAAGGGGGCUAGCGUUGUUCGGAUUUACUGGGCGUAAAGCGCACGUAGGCGGACUUUUAAGUCAGGGGUGAAAUCCCGGGGCUCAACCCCGGAACUGCCUUUGAUACUGGAAGUCUUGAGGAUGGUAGAGGUGAGUGGAAUUCCGAGUGUAGAGGUGAAAUUCGUAGAUAUUCGGAGGAAAACCAGUGGCGAAGGCGGCUCACUGGACCAUUACUGACGCUGAGGUGCGAAAGCGUGGGGAGCAAACAGG